AGGGCUAGGCUUCAGCUGAAUGGACCUGCCCCGGAAUUGGACAAUUUGGUGGUAGUGGCGGCCAAGGCCCUGAACUUUUAAGGGGAAGGGCAGGUGAGGAUGACCGGCGUGGCGUUUUCUGGGCAGGUGUUGAUGUAUGGUUUCAUGUACCCAAUUCAAAACUGUGUUGUGAACUGAAAGGGUGACGUCUGUCACUUCCGGGUUUUGUCUGCUUCGCACGGUUCUCAUUAUUAAUUGGAUUGGAUGAAAUCCCACCAAGGGGGACAUACCUCUGUGAAGGGUGGAG
rnacentral:lncRNA from 1 species